rnacentral:tRNA from 1 species
GGGCGAGUGGCGGAACUGGCAUACGCGUAUGGCUUAGGACCAUAUGCCGAAAGGCUUGGAGGUUCGAGUCCUCUCUCGCCCA